UUCGCAAUGCCCGAAAGGGUGACCGAGCGACGCCGCGUGCGGGAUGAAGGCCUUCGGGUCGUAAACCGCUUUUAUUUGGGACGAAUGCCUGUGUCGUGAACACGGGAGUGACGGUACCAGAGGAAUAAGCCUCGGCUAACUCCGUGCCAGCAGCCGCGGUAAGACGGAGGAGGCAAGCGUUGUUCGGAAUUAUUGGGCGUAAAGGGCGCGUAGGCGGAUCGGCGUGUCUGGCGUGAAAUCUCCACCGCUCACCGGGGAGAGGUCGCUGGAAACUACCGAUCUGGAGUUCGGCAGAGGACCAUGGAAUUCCAGGUGUAGCGGUGGAAUGCGUAGAUAUCUGGAAGAACACCUGUGGCGAAGGCGGUGGUCUGGGCCGAAACUGACGCUGAGGCGCGAAAGCCAGGGGAGCAAACGGGAUUAGAUACCCCGGUAGUCCUGGCUGUAAACGUUGGGCACUAAGUAGAGGGGUUUU
rnacentral:rRNA from 1 species